rnacentral:misc_RNA from 1 species
AGAGAGAGAGAGAGAGAGAUUAAUAGCAACUUAGGUCCACGCUACAUCUGUUCAUGUGUAACAUUUUCCAAACUAUGAACAGAUUGUUAGAAAUAAGUGGGGGAAAAAGAUUACGUAAACGGAUACCAUUAACAAGAAAUUAUACAAGCAUGUAUUACAAUAAAUGAGAAAUGGGAUCUCACUUAUGAAUGGAAGUAUGGAACAUGAUUUAUAAAGUAAAAAACAAAAGCAACCUUCUCUAUAUCAAUCUUCAAAAUAGCAGAAACUAUAAUAAAGAUCAUGUAUUUGAAAAUAAUAAUAAUAAUUAAGAUCAUGUACAAAUUCACUUUUUGCCUCCAUAUUUUGUCCAAAUGCAUAACUUCCAAUGAUUCUAAAUCCAUUUCAAGAUCAUUAUCUUGCAUAAGGACUACAAUAAGACCUAUAGCCUCAGCACUACUAAUUGACCAAAAAAAAAAAAAUCCACAAAAAU